GGCCACCCGCCAGCCCCGCUCUCCGGCUGGGCAGAGCGCGUGCGGCCGCCGAGCACAUGGGCCCGCGGGCCGGGGCGGGCGGGCGGCGGGCAGAGGGCAGCGGCGAGGAGCUGCGGGCCGGGGUGCGCCGACCCGCGAGCCCCGAGAGUGUGUCUCGGCGCAGAGAGGAUGUCGGCGGCCCCGGCGACCUGCGAGACGGGCCGGAUCCACCCUCCGGCCUGAUCUUUGGACCCAGAGGAGAUUAAAGACAUGCCCUCAAGACUGCUGAGCCUGCCAGUUGCACAGAGCUGUGUCUAGAGGUUUUCUGAGCACAGUGGAUUUACAGCGAGAUUCAACUGCCUGGGGGAAUGCCUGCAGACACGUGACCUGGAACCAUCACUGGUGCCCUUCAGGAUGCCAAAGGUAUUUUCAGGAAGAUGUGGCAGGGUGCUCAUGGAGGCUUCCGGUCUGAUGUCCACAGGGGACCUGACUACAGCUGCUUGGCAUGGCUGAGCUCUCUGAUCUUGCCUUGGACAGGCGUUUUGUGAGAUCUCCACCAGCUCCUUGGAGUCCCUGAAAUGGAGACUACGUGGUUGUUGAGGAUUUCAGCCCCGAGGAUGUCCCAUCCCAGCAUGGAGAAGCCUAAAGCACAUCGUCCUUCUUGACCAAAGAUGAAGCACUCUUCUUUCAGAUGGCUGUGUCCAUUGUACACACCUUAAGGGCAGCUGUUUGAGAAUCCUGUCACACCUGAGAUUUAAGUGCUUACAACCAGAAAAAUCUGCAUAUUCAUUCAGCACUGCAGAAGAACUUGUGGACUUCUUUGCCUGAGUUAAAGCUGGAAUAUUUGGGAGUUUGGAGAAUCAAGGCUUGAUGGGCCUGAAAAACAUGCAGUUCCUACCCGCUCCUCCUGAGUUCCCCUGAGCACCAGAGCUGCCACCUGUGCCACCCACCUGUGGCGUCUUCCACCCCUGUGGCAUCAUGUUGGGAAGCCCUGAUGACCGACCUCGGCCCUCAGCCGGUGGUGCUGUGGCCCACAGCUCACGGGAUUACCCAGCCUGCUGGUGUGGAGUUGAUGCUUCGGGUUUUCCACUGCGAACAAUGGUCCCCAGGGUGGGCAGGGCUCUACCCUUUGUGGGCGGGGUGGAAACAGCACUCUCUAAAUAGUGCAAGGGCCGUUCUCACAAAGGAAGUAAGGCUUCUGGGGAAAGGACGUGGGCUAUAGCUUCUUGGGGGGUUUCAUCCACGCCAGGGGCAGGGGGGCCCCCAGCAGACUGACCGACAUACUUCCUGUGACCCUUCCUGCGUACAGGCUGUAGAAUCUCCUGCUAGCUGCUCGCUUCUGUGCCUCACACCUGAGACAUGAAACAUUGCUUACAGAGCAAAAAUAAUUCUCCUUCCAUGGUUCUGUCUUUGUGCCUAUGUCUUUUGGGGCUCCUGUAAUAAAAUAGUAUAAACGGUGUAGCUUAUGAACCACUGAAAUGUUUCCAACAGUUCUGGAUGCUGGCAGUCCCAGAGUAGUGUGCGUGCAGAAGGCGUCUGCCGAGCACCGUCUUCUCCCUGUGUCUGCCCAGUGGGAGGGAGGCCGGAAGGUAGGGCACUGAUGUGGCUCGCUACCCAAGCCUCCUUGCUGAUAACUGCCCACUGUUCAUGCUGUCUCCUUGUGUAGGAGGUGUCCAGCACACGAGUUCUAAGGGCACACCAGCAUUCAGACCAUGGCAGCCCCAUACAAUAGCCCUGUGACGUCACCUUCUGACCACGCCGUUCAGCGGUCGGGGUCACUUGGAAGCUGAAAUUUACAUUCCUGGAGUGAAAGGUGCCAUAUCAUACCAAGUAAUACUCGUGGAGGUUCUUACGGGUCACAGCCACAAUGACAAUCCAGUUUGCAAGUGGACUUUUGCACAUGUGUUUGGUUCUUUUUCCAUGUUACUCUUUAUUCUUUAGUGGGGUAUGUGAAUUGCUUGUUUCCUAGGGCUGCCUUAACAAAGUUCUACAAACCAGGCUUCUGAAAACCAUACGCCUGCACUGUAUCUUCAGGUCAUGUGGGGGCUGGAAGCCUGUGGAAGUACCCUUAAGACCAUGUUGCUGCUGAGGACUCGGGAGAAUCUGCCCUUCCUUCCUCUCUUGCAUCCUUCUGGCUGCCCUGGCAGUUCUUGCUGCCCCUGGGUUUGUAGCUACACCACUCCAACCUUUGUGUGUCCUCCUGUGGCCUUCUCUCCGUGUGUCUGGGUCCUGAGUCCCCCUUCAUCUAGUGACCAGGACCCCUUUAUCCAUCUUACCUUGGUUGUGUGUGACCACAAUGCCGUUUCUGAAGAAGGUCAUGUUUGCAGAUGCUGGGGUUUGGGUAGUCCACAACAGGGAGAGGAAAAUGCUAUGAUUUUUACUUUUGUUUAUUUACUUAUUUUUUGCAAAAUAUUUUUACUUUUAGUUUUUAAGAUAGUAUAGGCAUGUAUGUGUGUGUGUGUGUGUGUGUGUGUGUGUGCAUGUGUGUGUGUGUGUGUGUGUGUGUGUGUGUGUGUAUAAAUUAUAAGUAGAUUGUCACAUUUGGGGGCUCUGCACAAUGAGGACCUACUUAAAAGGAAAAACGACCAGGUCUGGCUGAUGAGAGGCCCCGUCUUCGUGUGCUCUGCCUGCUGUGAUGAAGUAUCGUAGGUUGGGUGUCUUUAAACAGGGGAUAACUUUCUCAGUUCUGCCUCUGUAAAGCCCAAGGCAUGGCAGCUGGCUGGCUGUCCAGUGUGGGUUCUCUUUCUGACAUGCUGAUGUCUGCCUUCUUGCUGCGUCUCCACAUGGGGACGGGUGGGGGACAGGUGAUGGGUGGAGCUCUCCAGUGUGUCUUUCUGCGAGGAUGCUUACCCUGGCCAAGGUUCCGCUGCAGGACCACAUGUGACCCUGUAGCCUCCAUGAAGGUCUCAUCUCCAGGAGCUGCAUGGGAGCUAGGACUGCGACAUAUAAAUUUGGGAGGGGACUCAAUUCAGUCCACAAAGGCUCCCUGUUGUCGGACCGCAAGACCCCUUUAACAUUUGAGAGUUACGGUGAAAACUUGAAAUCUAGUAUGGUGGGUAGAAUAUGACUUUGUUUCCAAGUAUGCCUCAUUUUUAUUCUGGCUUUUUAAAAAUCCUCUCUCCUUUUUCUUCUACAUUUAUACCUGGAUGAUUCAGGCAGAUUAAUUGCCCUUUCUGAACCUGUUUUCUGUGUGGAGAUAGAGGCUGUCUACAGGAUCAUUUGCGAGGCUCAAGGAGAAUACUAAGCAGGUGUUCAGUAGCCUUGACUGUUGUCCCUCUGUGGAAGCGCCUUGACCCCUGUCCGUGCAGAUUGGGAGGGCUUCCAUGGGGUUCACCUUAGAAUGAUCCCUGGGGCCUUUCUGAGCCCUGUCUUUUGGUGUGGAACCAUGAUGCCAUGUUUUGUGCACAGGUCAGGAUUCUUGUCCUCUCCCUCCCUCCGCUCCUUUCUUCUCUUUCUCUCUUUCCCAGCACUAAAGAGUGAAGGGUCUUCACCCUGAGCUACACCUCCAGGAAAGCCAGAAUCUCAGUAAGUUGUCCAAGUUGGGCUUGAACUUUCGGUCCUCUUACCUCAGCCUGCCAGAGUGCUGGGGUUCCAGGUGUGCACCUCCAUGUACGGCUGGCUCCUAGGUUAGUUUUUAAAGCAGGGUCUGAGUGAUCAGAACAGCUCCUAAGCAGCAGCCAUCAAGACCAAAUUUCGUGUAUUGGGGGAGGGAGGAGGGAAGGCUUGGCCUGGGGUUACCACUUUUUCACUUUUAUUCAUCUCAAAGUUCUCUCCUUCCCUCCCUGUGUCAUCUGUUGAGUGUGCUAACGAUUCAGUGGUGGAGUUUGUAAGCACAGAGAAGCAGGACAUUGUAUGCAGGAACCUGAAGUCCCAACAGCCCAGUGGGAGUCCAGCAAAAUCUGUUUUUAUCAGGUAGUAAAGGCCUAAACAGAGAGAUGGAUUGCUCUCCAGAUUCAUUCUAAAGCAGCUUUCCAGGUAGCUCCCUUGUUACCUGGGCAGUUGUGGCCGCAUUCCUUCCCCUCUGUGUUUUCAUUCUGUUGCCUGUAAAGACAGCCACGCCUUUUUUCAAAGCUGAGAAAUGCAUCUCAGCACCAAGGUGGGUACUCAUCAUCAGAGGUUGGACUGGAAACCUCACCUUUACCUUUGCAGCCUUUUAACUUUCAAGGCUCUGUGAGUGCUGAAGGUCCCAGGCAGAGCAUAGCAUGGGUGCCAGCUCUCCAUUCAUUUCCAGAUAGCAUCCUGCUAUCGGGACAGUCAUGUCUUCUCCGUGGCAUCUGUCUCUGUUGGCCCUAGAAAAUUCCUCUGUGCCUGGUUCCUGUACUACCCCUUGCACCCACUCAGGUGCCAGCACCCCACAUCCUGCCUCCCGGCUGCAGCAUCAGCACUGGCAGGGUGUGUGUCGUGGGUAUGCUGAGAUGUGGGCACCCAGUGGACUGCCAGCAGGGCUGGCAUGGUGGCGUGAUGCUCUCUGGAAAGAGAGGUUGGCUGGGAUGUCUGUGUGUUGAGAGCCUGUGAGCCCAUUAGCCCUGUAGUACGCUCCUGGGAGUCAUGCUCCGGCGUGUACAUGGAAUCCAUUUCAGUGGUCAUCGGUUCCACACCCCCACUGCAGCAUGGAGCCUGGCGGUCAGCCGUGCUGCUCAGCGCAGUGCACGGAGGUCCCAGAAACAAGGGGUGCCGCUCCCUCCUCCCUGACCUGACCAGGAGGCACCUGUGGCAGCUUCAUGCCUCACGGAUGGGUUGGUAAAGUCACAUUUGCCAGGUUCACUGGGAGGAGGUUUCUGUCUUUCAUAUUGUAAGCAUCUCGUCAGGAGACGCCUUAGGACCGUGUCAGCAUCUCCUUUCCCACCCCACUUUCCCUGAGCUAGUGUUAGUAUCUGUUCUGGCCUGAAAUAAUUAUUACUCCACUGUUUGCUAAAUAGCACGUUUCUUUACCCAUCAUUACCUCUGCAUUGUCAGUUAGAAUCCUACUGUAAGGAAUACAUUUCCUUUUCUAUUAGAUAACAUUUAUUAUUUACAUCAGUAAGGACUUAUGGAUUCUUAUUGUUUGGGUUAUAGUCUGUGACUAUAAUUAUUUUGUGGCUUAGAUUUUCUUGAAUUUGGCCCCUAGCAUACCUUUCAGUUUUGGUUACAUGUCCUGCGUGUUGACAUUUCUCCAUUACUUUGUGAACUCUGCCUUAUAUUUUGCCCAAGGCCACCAUGUUCCAGGCCUAUCUCCAUGUGUACUGUAAGAAGGAAUACUAUAAGAAGUAUUCCUUACAGUAGGUCUCUGAUUGACAAUGCAGAGGUAAUGAUGGGUAAAUCAGCAGUGGCACCUGGGAUAUUGUGUUAUCUAGACUUAAUAAGGAAAACAUAUCCAAUAAACCCAUAUUAAGGGGCAUCGUAUCAAAUACCUGGUCACAGGACAAAUCAUGACUGCAGAAGUCUGGCAGAUUUACAAAAACUAAGGGCCACAGCAACAAAAUGCAGUGUGUGACUCAGGAUCAUAUUCUAUGUUGGAAAAGGACAUCAUUAGUGAAACUUGGAUGUGUCUCGUGAUAAGCAGUAGUAUGGCUGAAGUUGAUUUCCUGAUACGCUUAGACAGUCAUACUGUGGUCAUGUAAGAGAACCACAUUUAACAAUUCACAAAAUUACACAGGAAUUCUGUGGGGUUUUUUGAACCCAAUGUGUAAAUGCAAGAUUAUCUCAAAAUGAAAACUAAAAGAAAAUUAAACAGCUCAAUGAUGUAAAUUUAUAUUUGUCCAUACCAAGUGUUAUCUGUCACCCGCUAAUUGAACAGGCCAUGCCAUAGUAUUGACCCAGUUCUGUAAAAUUAAGACAGAACAAUGUAUAGCAGAUGCAUAAGCUGCACACGAGAUAAAUUCUGAGAAAGGUGUGUGUUUCCUGUUAACAGACAUUUCUGGUAAAUGUGAUUGGAAGGUGUGAGGUAGUGAGAGCUUUUACUUUUUGGUAUUUUUAAAAAAUAAACAGCGUGUUUUCAUACUGUGGUGGGAAAUCACAGGCACUGGCUGGAUGUGUGGGUGCCUGCCUGCCCAUGCGUGCUGAAUUCUGAGGCUCCUCACCUAGUUCCUGCUUGCUUGUCUUUCUCCACAGAUAGGGCUAUGCAUAGUUUUGCUUGAAGGACACUCUGGUUUUUCAGUCUGUUAACCAUCUUCCCACAUCAAGUUCUAGGUAAAGCAGGUCGCUUGUGGACACAGAGCAGCCUGCUGUCCAGAUCUGUGCAGCAGUGCCCACCACUCAUCUUGCCUUUACGUAAGGGAAGGCUAUUGUCCACCCUGGAAAAUGGUAGGGAGAACUUUCUUCCUGCACUGGAGCCAUUUCCAUCUCCCUAGGAAGCAGGAAUUAGGAAGUUAUAGCUGUCAUAUACAUCCAAGAGAGCUUGGUGCUACCACCCAGUUAAGGAAUGAGCUGUCAAGUUCUCCCGGGAGUCUGUAGUGACCCUGGGCUUCUGUAGUUAAUAUGGAAUUUAUUUCAGACAUCUUUGUUACAUGGAUAUCAUGGAUAGACUUGACUUUGGGGCAGGCACUCCUUGACCACAGAAGUGUAGAGCCAGAAGAGGAGAAGUGUUUCUGGUAGGGGCUGUGUGCCUCGAGCUGUUAACAGGUAUUUCUGGUAAAUGUGAUUGGAAGGUGUGAGGUAGUGAGAGCUUUUACUCUCUGUUGGUCACUGUCACCUCCUGCUGUUGGGGGGCGCUCUUGUGUGUCACUGAGGAAACUUUGCAUGAUUCCUGCCAUUUC